AAAGAAGUGUGUUUUUGUUUGUGAGGGAAAGAUAACCUUGAUCAGCUUCCCAAAGAACCCAGUGUUAAGGGAACAGUGGAUGCCGUUUGUUUCUCCGGGGAAGCAACAGAGUUGUGCAAAAUGUGUUUGAUUGUUCUCAGCAUUUCGGUGACAAAUGUUUUAUAAACAAAUUAAAUACAAUUUAAGCCAGUAAAGUUUUUGUUCCCG